rnacentral:rRNA from 1 species
GGACUACCCGGGUAUCUAAUCCUGUUUGCUCCCCACGCUUUCGUGCCUCAGUGUCAGUAUGAAUCCAGGGAGCCGCCUUCGCCACUGGUGUUCCUUCCGAUAUCUACGCAUUCCACCGCUACACCGGAAAUUCCACUCCCCUCUAUUCUACUCAAGCUACUCAGUAUUAGAUGCAGUUCCCAGGUUAAGCCCGGGGCUUUCACAUCUAACUUAAAUAACCACCUACGCACCCUUUACGCCCAGUCAUUCCGAUUAACGCUUGCACCCUCUGUAUUACCGCGGCGGCUGGCAC